rnacentral:rRNA from 1 species
AUUGAACGCUGGCGGCAGGCCUAACACAUGCAAGUCGAACGAGUCGCGGACGGGUGUGUAAUGUCUGUGAAACUGCCUGAUGGAGGGGGAUAACUACUGGAAACGGUAGCUAAUACCGCAAACCUUCAGAUGUGCCCAGAUGGGAUUGGCUUGUUGGGGGGGUAACGGCUCACCACGGCGACGAUCCCUAGCUGGUCUGAGAGGAGGACCAGCCACACUGGAACUGAGACACGGUCCAGACUCCUAGGGGAGGCAGAAGUGGGGAAUAUUGCACAAUGGGCGAAAGCCUGAUGCAGCCAUGCCGCGUGUAUGAAGAGGGCCUUCGGGUUGUAAAGUACUUUCAGCGGGGAGGCGUUACCCGCAGAAGAAGCACCGGCUAACUCCGUGCCAGCAGCCGCGGUAAUAC